rnacentral:rRNA from 1 species
GACGAACGCUGGCGGCGUGCUUAACACAUGCAAGUCGAACGGAAAGGCCCUGCUUUUGUGGGGUGCUCGAGUGGCGAACGGGUGAGUAACACGUGAGUAACCUGCCCUUGACUUUGGGAUAACUUCAGGAAACUGGGGCUAAUACCGGAUAGGAGCUCCUGCUGCAUGGUGGGGGUUGGAAAGUUUCGGCGGUUGGGGAUGGACUCGCGGCUUAUCAGCUUGUUGGUGGGGUAGUGGCUUACCAAGGCUUUGACGGGUAGCCCGCCUGAGAGGGUGACCGGCCACCUUGGGACUGAGAUACGGCCCAGACGCCUACGGGAGGCAGCAGUGGGGAAUAUUGCACAAUGGGCGGAAGCCUGAUGCAGCAACGCCGCGUGCGGGAUGACGGCCUUCGGGUUGUAAACCGCUUUCGCCUGUGACGAAGCGUGAGUGACGGUAAUGGGUAAAGAAGCACCGGCUAACUACGUG